UGUAGGGGAGGAAGAAAACACUUUUUUCUUUUCCUAUCCUGUUAGGCUCAGUUCCUGAGGUCUGUGAAUUAAACUGAUAAAUACAUAUCAACAGGAAAGAAAAAGAGACUUGUUUAUGUGCAUACGAGAGUCAACAAAAGAAGGAGCUGGCUCAUGGUGGGGUUAAAGUUAACGGCCUAAACGGUCUUUAGAUCAACAUUGGGGCUCUCAGUGGGCCCCGUACUUGUCACCUGACAAGUUUCCAGAAAAGUUUUGCUGAGUUGUACUUCUGUGAAGCAGAGGGAGGUACAGGACCAAACUGCCAGGUUACAGAAUGCUAGAGUGUUUCAAAUCGGAUCAUCUGCUCCUUCAAUGUCAAAACCAGCAGCAGUGUUUGCAAUUCUGUAUCACCAACACCAAAAGCAAAAUACCGACUGUUCUGUGUUCACCAGCAGGAUAACUGAAAAGACUUCCUGCUCCCAGCAUGCCUAAAACUCUCUGUGGAUGAGGAGACUUUUACUGCAGCCCUGAAAGAGCCUCUGCUUCUCUGGCUAUCUAAAACAACACCUGGGAUGAUCACAAGGGAAACUGGAUGAAAGGCAUCUAUUGUUGCUAAACUUAUCACAUUGUACACUGUGAUUUGUGUCUGUAUCCAGUUUUUAAAAAAGUAAAAUGAGAGUUAAAUUGGU